rnacentral:rRNA from 1 species
AUACGGAGGGGGUUAGCGUUGUUCGGAAUUACUGGGCGUAAAGCGCACGUAGGCGGAUUGGAAAGUAGGGGGUGAAAUCCCAGGGCUCAACCCUGGAACUGCCUCCUAAACUAUCAGUCUCGAGUUCGAGAGAGGUGAGUGGAAUUCCAAGUGUAGAGGUGAAAUUCGUAGAUAUUUGGAGGAACACCAGUGGCGAAGGCGGCUCACUGGCUCGAUACUGACGCUGAGGUGCGAAAGCAUGGGGAGCAAACAGGAUUAGAAACCCUAGUAGUCC